rnacentral:tRNA from 1 species
GGUUCUGUGGCCUAAUGGGUAAGCCUUUGGCCUCCGGAGCCAAAGACAGUGGGUUCAAGUCCCACCAGGGGCG